UAAUUUGAGAGUUUGAUCCUGGCUCAGGACGAACGCUGGCGGCGUGCCUAAUACAUGCAAGUCGAACGAACUCUGGUAUUGAUUGGUGCUUGCAUCAUGAUUUACAUUUGAGUGAGUGGCGAACUGGUGAGUAACACGUGGGAAACCUGCCCAGAAGCGGGGGAUAACACCUGGAAACAGAUGCUAAUACCGCAUAACAACUUGGACCGCAUGGUCCGAGCUUGAAAGAUGGCUUCGGCUAUCACUUUUGGAUGGUCCCGCGGCGUAUUAGCUAGAUGGUGGGGUAAUGGCUCACCAUGGCAAUGAUACGUAGCCGACCUGAGAGGGUAAUCGGCCACAUUGGGACUGAGACACGGCCCAAACUCCUACGGGAGGCAGCAGUAGGGAAUCUUCCACAAUGGACGAAAGUCUGAUGGAGCAACGCCGCGUGAGUGAAGAAGGGUUUCGGCUCGUAAAACUCUGUUGUUAAAGAAGAACAUAUCUGAGAGUAACUGUUCAGGUAUUGACGGUAUUUAACCAGAAAGCCACGGCUAACUACGUGCCAGCAGCCGCGGUAAUACGUAGGUGGCAAGCGUUGUCCGGAUUUAUUGGGCGUAAAGCGAGCGCAGGCGGUUUUUUAAGUCUGAUGUGAAAGCCUUCGGCUCAACCGAAGAAGUGCAUCGGAAACUGGGAAACUUGAGUGCAGAAGAGGACAGUGGAACUCCAUGUGUAGCGGUGAAAUGCGUAGAUAUAUGGAAGAACACCAGUGGCGAAGGCGGCUGUCUGGUCUGUAACUGACGCUGAGGCUCGAAAGUAUGGGUAGCAAACAGGAUUAGAUACCCUGGUAGUCCAUACCGUAAACGAUGAAUGCUAAGUGUUGGAGGGUUUCCGCCCUUCAGUGCUGCAGCUAACGCAUUAAGCAUUCCGCCUGGGGAGUACGGCCGCAAGGCUGAAACUCAAAGGAAUUGACGGGGGCCCGCACAAGCGGUGGAGCAUGUGGUUUAAUUCGAAGCUACGCGAAGAACCUUACCAGGUCUUGACAUACUAUGCAAAUCUAAGAGAUUAGACGUUCCCUUCGGGGACAUGGAUACAGGUGGUGCAUGGUUGUCGUCAGCUCGUGUCGUGAGAUGUUGGGUUAAGUCCCGCAACGAGCGCAACCCUUAUUAUCAGUUGCCAGCAUUAAGUUGGGCACUCUGGUGAGACUGCCGGUGACAAACCGGAGGAAGGUGGGGAUGACGUCAAAUCAUCAUGCCCCUUAUGACCUGGGCUACACACGUGCUACAAUGGAUGGUACAACGAGUUGCGAACUCGCGAGAGUAAGCUAAUCUCUUAAAGCCAUUCUCAGUUCGGAUUGUAGGCUGCAACUCGCCUACAUGAAGUCGGAAUCGCUAGUAAUCGCGGAUCAGCAUGCCGCGGUGAAUACGUUCCCGGGCCUUGUACACACCGCCCGUCACACCAUGAGAGUUUGUAACACCCAAAGUCGGUGGGGUAACCUUUUAGGAACCAGCCGCCUAAGGUGGGACAGAUGAUUAGGGUGAAGUCGUAACAAGGUAGCCGUAGGAGAACCUGCGGCUGGAUCACCUCCUUU
rnacentral:rRNA from 1 species